rnacentral:rRNA from 1 species
UGGGGGAUAUUGCACAAUGGGCGAAAGCCUGAUGCAGCGACGCCGCGUGGGGGAUGAAGGCCUUCGGGUUGUAAACUUCUUUUGCUCUGAACAAGGCAUGCCUUUGGGGUGUGUUGAGUGUAGGGGUUGAUUAGCGCCGGCUAACUACGUGCCAGCAGCCGCGGUAAUACGUGGGGCGCGAGCGUUGUCCGGAAUUAUUGGGCGUAAAGGGCUUGUAGGUGGCUGGUUGCGUCUGUCGUGAAAGCUCAUGGCUUAACUGUGGGUUUGCGGUGGGUACGGGCUGGCUUGAGUGCAGUAGGGGAGGCUGGAAUUCCUGGUGUAGCGGUGGAAUGCGCAGAUAUCAGGAGGAAUACCGGUGGCGAAGGCGGGUCUCUGGGCUGUUACUGACGCUGAGGAGCGAAAGCGUGGGGAGCGAACAGG